UUUGAGACACGUUCUUUUCAUCUGUAUCUGCUAUUAGAUUCCGUGUUUAUUUGAGUAAUGAACGGAUGUGUGCGGGCAUUGAUAAAUUUUUCAUAUCAUCCAUGCAUGCGUGGCAUGAAUGCUCGUAAUCUAAAUAUUUUAUCAUCGCAUAAUUAUCCGUUGUGCACCGCUUGGACCGCCGACGAACAAAAGUGUUUUACCUACAUCAGCGCGAUGCAAAGCUGGAUUCCCGUAAGAUGGUGGCGCAAUGCGAUGCUCAAUGUGAGUGUGGGCGGAGAUACCUGCAUGAGAGUUAUACAUGCGUGUAAAAGGUCGAGUCGUAAAUUCGCCAACGCGAUAAGAGGUGAAACCCGGUCGCAUCGCAACUCAGCACCAUGGGAACCAGAUAGAACCAGAAUACCGGAAGGAUGUCGGCACACAGGAAGGAUAUUGCGGGGUUUUGCACCUGAGCCAGACUUCGUAGAAGAACCAUUCUUUCAUCAGAUUGGGUUUUGCACCUGAGCCAGACUUCGUAGAAGAACCAUUCUUUCAUCAGAUUGGGUUUUGCACCUGAGCCAGACUUCGUAGAAGAACCAUUCUUUCAUCAGAUUGGGUUUUGCACCUGAGCCAGACUUCGUAGAAGAACCAUUCUUUCAUCAGAUUGGGUUUUGCACCUGAGCCUGACUUUGUAGGAGAACCAUUCUUUCAUUAGAUUGCAAGGGAUUUGCAGCUGAGCAAGACUUUGUAGGAGAACCAUGUUUUCAGCAGAUUGGGUUUUGCACCUGAGCCCGACUUCGUAGGAAAACCAUUCUUUCAUCAGAUUGGGUUUUGCACCUGAGCCCGACUUCGUAGGAAAUCCAUUCUUUCAUCAGAUUGGGUUUUGCACCUAAGCCCGACUUCGUAGGAAAACCAUUCUUUCAUCAGAUUGUUUUGCACCUGAGGCCGAUUUCGUAGGAGAACCAUUCUUUCAUCAGAUUGGGUUUUACACCUGAGUCUGACUUCGUAGGAGAACCAUUCUUUCAUCAGAUUGAGUUUUGCACCUGAGCCCGACUUUGUAGGAGAACCAUUCUUUCAUCAGAUUGUAAGUAUUGAAUUU